GAGUGCUUGCACUCAAUUGGAAAGAGGAGUGGCGGACGGGUGAGUAACACGUGGGUAACCUACCCAUCAGAGGGGGAUAACACUUGGAAACAGGUGCUAAUACCGCAUAACAGUUUAUGCCGCAUGGCAUAAGAGUGAAAGGCGCUUUCGGGUGUCGCUGAUGGAUGGACCCGCGGUGCAUUAGCUAGUUGGUGAGGUAACGGCUCACCAAGGCCACGAUGCAUAGCCGACCUGAGAGGGUGAUCGGCCACACUGGGACUGAGACACGGCCCAGACUCCUACGGGAGGCAGCAGUAGGGAAUCUUCGGCAAUGGACGAAAGUCUGACCGAGCAACGCCGCGUGAGUGAAGAAGGUUUUCGGAUCGUAAAACUCUGUUGUUAGAGAAGAACAAGGACGUUAGUAACUGAACGUCCCCUGACUGUAUCUAACCAGAAAGCCACGGCUAACUACGUGCCAGCAGCCGCGGUAAUACGUAGGUGGCAAGCGUUGUCCGGA
rnacentral:rRNA from 1 species